UACAGAGGGGGGCAAGCGUUAUUCGGAAUUAUUGGGCGUAAAGAGCUCGUAGGCGGUUCGUCACGUCGGGUGUGAAAUUUCGGGGGCUCAACCCCCGAACUUGCAGUGGGUACGGGCAGACUAGAGUGUGGUAGGGGGAGACUGGAAUUCCUGGUGUAGCGGUGAAAUGCGCAGAUAUCAGGAGGAACACCGAUGGCGAAGGCGGCAUCCUGGACCAAUAUUGACGCUGAGGAGCGAAAGCCCAGGGGGAGCAAAACGGGG
rnacentral:rRNA from 1 species